rnacentral:rRNA from 1 species
GAUGAACGCUAGCGGGAGGCCUAACACAUGCAAGCCGAGCGGUAUUGUUUCUUCGGAAAUGAGAGAGCGGCGUACGGGUGCGGAACACGUGUGCAACCUGCCUUUAUCUGGGGGAUAGCCUUUCGAAAGGAAGAUUAAUACUCCAUAAUAUAUUGAACAGCAUCGUUUAAUAUUGAAAGCUCCGGCGGAUAGAGAUGGGCACGCGCAAGAUUAGCUAGUUGGUGAGGUAACGGCUCACCAAGGCGAUGAUCUUUAGGGGGCCUGAGAGGGUGAUCCCCCACACUGGUACUGAGACACGGACCAGACUCCUACGGGAGGCAGCAGUGAGGAAUAUUGGUCAAUGGGUGCAAGCCUGAACCAGCCAUCCCGCGUGAAGGACGACUGCCCUAUGGGUUGUAAACUUCUUUUGUAUAGGGAUAAACCUACCCUCGUGAGGGUAGCUGAAGGUACUAUACGAAUAAGCACCGGCUAACUCCGUGCCAGCCGCCGCGGUAACAC